CCUACGGGUGGCAGCAGUGGGGAAUAUUGGGCAAUGGGCGCAAGCCUGACCCAGCAACGCCGCGUGAAGGAAGAAUGCCCUCGGGGUGGAAACUUCCUUUAUUCGGGACGAAAAAAAUGACGGUACCGACUGAAUAAGCCACCGCUAACUACGUGCCAGCAGCCGCGGGAAUACGGAGGUGGCAAGCGUUAUCCGGAUUUACUGGGUGUAAAGGUCGUGUAGGCGGGAGAGCAAGUCAGACGUGAAAUUCCAGGGCUCAACCCUGGAACUGCGUUUGAAACUGGUUUCCUUGAGUGAAGGGGAGGCAGGCGGAAUUCCGGGUGUAGCGGUGAAAUGCGUAGAUAUACGGAGGAACACCAGUGGCGAAGGCAGCCUACUGGACAUUAACUGACGCUGAGGCGCGAAAGCGUGGGGAGCAAACAGGAUUAGAUACCCUAGUAGUC
rnacentral:rRNA from 1 species